CCUACGGGUGACAGCAGUGGGGAAUAUUGCACAAUGGGGGAAACCCUGAUGCAGCGACGCCGCGUGAGUGAAGAAGUAUCUCGGUACGUAAAGCUCUAUCAGCAGGAAAGAAAAUGACGGUACCUGACUAAGAAGCCCCGGCUAACUACGUGCCAGCAGCCGCGGUAAUACGUAGGGGGCAAGCGUUAUCCGGAUUUACUGGGUGUAAAGGGAGCGUAGACGGCAGCGCAAGUCUGGAGUGAAAUCCCAUGGCUUAACCAUGGAACUGCUUUGGAAACUGUGCAGCUAGAGUGCAGGAGAGGUAAGCGGAAUUCCUAGUGUAGCGGUGAAAUGCGUAGAUAUUAGGAGGAACACCAGUGGCGAAGGCGGCUUACUGGACUGUAACUGACGUUGAGGCUCGAAAGCGUGGGGAGCAAACAGGAUUAGAUACCCGUGUAGUC
rnacentral:rRNA from 1 species